UUCUAUGUAGUGGGUUUUGCUCCACCACGUGUCUCCUCACCUCUCCAGUGCAUUAUGUAUUUGAAUAUUGCCUGGUGACAUUAAGAUGUAAUUAUUUUGUGUUAUUUACACGUUCAGUCUUACAGGAAACGGUUAGCAAGUAACUAAUUGAUUAAAUUACUUGUUGUAUCAGUGAAGAAAAACCAGUACAAUUGUUGUUAAAUUCUACUUUUUAAACAUACAUGGCAACUUCUUGCUACAGUCACCGCUUCACCACUGACACUGACAGUUGACAUUUUGACAUCCAUUGAUAAGCCUUGGCAUCAGCUGACUCCCAAGGUCACACAAGUGUUUUGUUACAGUGAACAUUCCUUUCACAUUUGAUAACCUUCAAUAUUCUGUCAUGAUAUUCUUGUGAGGACAUUCAAGACCUGUUAUUCAUUCUGUGAUGGGACUGUAGCUCAACACAGUGUCGUCCAAAUGACAACACAAAGCUCUGCCACCACUACAAUACAAAUACAGAAAGAAACAAAAAUAAUUACCCAACAAAAUGCCUUGACACCACUUUGAAAGAAUAUCGUUAUCUAAAGAAGCAUUUAAAUGGGUGGCACAGAUGCCAGCCAGUCAUAGUGAAGCAAGGAAAUGAGUGGCCAAGAAUCACUGUCAAGAACUGGUGACUGGUGCUGGUGACUGGUGCCUGUGUCCUGCUGCCCCUGAUCAGUGUUGAUGGCUGGUGCGUGUGUCCUGCUGCCCCUGAUCAGUGUUGAUGACUGGUGCGUGUGUCCUGCUGCCCCUGAUCAGUGCUGAUGGCUGGUGUCUGUGUCCUGCUGCCCCUGAUCAGUGCUGAUGGCUGGUGCCUGUCCUGCUGUGCCUGACUUGUUUCCUGCACCACCAGCAGUCAAGUGUGUGUGUGGGAUGAGCCUCUCUGUGAAUGACAAAUGUGCUGUUUAAGUGUGAAACAUACUGUACUACAAAUAAGACAGCAGUCUGUGGCACCAUAACGACAUUCAACUAUGAAGAAUUUGUGAACUAGUUUGCAUUUGCAAUUGUACAUACAAAAUACAAAUUCAUAAAUUUACAAUCACUUGUUAAGAAAUACAACAUAGCAAACAAUAUUCAUACUUUUAUGGCCGACAUUUAUAGGUUAUAGAGACACCCUGCUCUGUAGAAAACACAUGCUUGCCCCAGCUCUGGCAUUAACACACUAUAAAAAUGACAGCAAGUCUCAUUAGAACAGCUGACAACACACCAGAUGAUGACAAUCUGGUCUGCUCUAUGGACAGUAUUGCACUGAACAUUUUAACACUGUUCUGCAAAUGAAUUUUGCAGAACAAUCACCACACAACACUAACUUAUAUACAAACCUGGUGUUAAAAUUCCUUUACCAAAAUUUGUGAUACAGAAUAUAGCAAGAUUAUUUAUAACUUGACAGGAGACUGUUGUCUUGGGAUGGUGCCACAUUCUCAUGAAUACUGUACAUAAGACAACAGUAUCAAGCAUUCAUCCUACAUGCAUAGAGUACAGCACCACUAGCAAAUUUUAUAAACCAAAUUACCUACAAAACGUACAUAUCAAAAGGGAACAAGCACAUUUGUAUAAAUUGAUCAAUUGCUACAAGACUUAUAAACAUCCCUUCAAGUGCAGUAAAACCCUUACAACUCAGCAUAGUAGCAGCUCCAAUCUGGCCAAGUUAUUCAGUAUUCAGAGUUAUGCAAAUCUCCAAUAUCCCUUCCAUCCUAUAAACAAUCAAAAUUUUGAAAACACUGCACUACACAGCAGCAGUAUAAUGGCUUAAAAGCAACUUAACUUGCCAGUGAAGGGGCUGCUACAGUGAUGUAGUCUAAGCAGAGGGAGGCCUUGUGGUAAGGUGAAUUGUACAUGUUGGCUGGGACUCUCAACACUGCAUUGUGUUACAGACACAAUCACUUCAAUACACUGCACUAUUCUGCAUUGUACUGUACAAUAGAAAUUGACAACAUUUGAACACUUAUCAAUGUACUCUUUACAUUCUACUGAGGCCUCAAUUAUUAAUGUACUAAGCAAUAAAGUGGAGACUCAA